UACUGCGCAAUGGGGGAAACCCUGACGCAGCAACGCCGCGUGAGUGAAGAAGUAUCUCGGUAUGUAAAGCUCUAUCAGCGGGGAAGAAAGAGGACGGUACCCGACUAAGAAGCCCCGGCUAACUACGUGCCAGCAGCCGCGGUAAUACGUAGGGGGCGAGCGUUAUCCGGAUUUACUGGGUGUAAAGGGAGCGUAGACGGCGUCGCAAGUCUGAAGUGAAAGCCCGUGGCUCAACCGCGGAACCGCUUUGGAAACUGCGUGGCUGGAGUGCUGGAGAGGUAAGCGGAAUUCCUGGUGUAGCGGUGAAAUGCGUAGAUAUCAGGAGGAACACCGGUGGCGAAGGCGGCUUACUGGACAGUGACUGACGUUGAGGCUCGAAAGCGUGGGGAGCGAACAGGA
rnacentral:rRNA from 1 species